AAGAUAUUAGGCAAAUACAAACCAAAAACUUUGUUUUUAAUAUUAUUUAAAGCUGAUUUUAGAGCAAAAGAAUUAAGUCAAGCAAAGAAGGUAAAUGCAUUAAAUUCUAUAAGCCAAAUAAUAUAGUACCUACAUUCAUAAAUCAAAUUAAUAAUUACUAUAAGAAGAAAUAUACAGAAGUCCAUUAUUCUCAGAAACCUUUAUUUCACAUGUCUCAGCCCAGGACAGAUCAAGUGACCAGAGAGAUCUAACUAGUACAGCGAGGCACACCGCCGCAGCGACGGGACGCACCGCGCAGGUGACCUGCCGGGUUCUGUCAGACGGUCCUCCCCGACUCACUUGUCACCUGGAUGGAAGGAAGCCCCUGGCGCAACCUUCCUGAAACCCGCGGGCCAGCCCCUCUCCCCAGCUGCACUGCAGUCCAGCCAGACCCAUGCAGGUGACACUGGGCUGUCCACACAGAACGUCGGGUGCGUGGAUGAGGAUCCCAGUCGCACACAGCCAGAAGGGAGGGUAAUGAGGUUCCUAUUGGGCAGCUUCGUCCUUUCCCUGGGUUUCCUUCCCUGAGAAUGACCUCAGGUCCCACCGCCUCUUUCCCUACAAGACCUGUGACAAUUCCUCCCCAAAUCCACUUUGCAGAACCCACUCAGAGCCUCGCAGUGACACCCACCUUCCCCGGGGUGGGUCUCAUCUCCCAGGGCAGGCAGAUUGCACCCCCAGACAUACACGCCCAGGUCUGCCUUCUUAGGAGGCCUUUGCCUGGACAGGGUCUAAACUGGGCUUUUUCCAAAAGGUUUUUAUAGAAAUCCUAUACCUAGUACCCAUUGCAACUCUGAGUCUACAGUUCUACAGAAGCUACAAAAAUGAACCGAACUUUACCUCCACUUGAGAUGGGGAAGCCAGGUCCCUGGAAGAACGGGUGUCCCGUUCAGUCCUCAAAGCCGAUGGGCGGUCAGCCUGUCCUCAGCCCGUCCUUAGACUUAGAGCCUGACCUUCUGACCAUGAAAGAGCACCUCCCAGUGAGCACCGCCUUUCUGAUUAAAUUGGCUCCUUCAUCUUUAUUUUCUCACUGAUACACUGAAGCUAUACUUUAUCCUGGAAAAUUCAAGUGGCUGCUCUGGGGACGCAGGCUGUGAAUGUGUACACACUGUGUGUUUCUUAGAAGAAAGAGCUCUAAUCAAUUCAAGGCGUCACUCUACCAAGAUCGAGUUUUGACCCUGAUACAUGUCAGUGACUAAUGUCAUGCGUUUCAAAGCAAAAUGUAGCCCGAUAUUGUCUGGGUAAACCAGGCAUGUAAAUUAACUCAGCCGUAAAACCUUCUUAAAAAUUUUAAAAGAGACAGGCCUUGGCAAGUCAUUAAACUGCAGAACAGCCU
rnacentral:lncRNA from 1 species